UACGAAGGGGGCUAGCGUUGUUCGGAAUCACUGGGCGUAAAGCGCACGUAGGCGGAUUGUUAAGUCAGGGGUGAAAUCCCGAGGCUCAACCUCGGAACUGCCUUUGAUACUGGCGAUCUAGAGUCCGGGAGAGGUGAGUGGAACUGCGAGUGUAGAGGUGAAAUUCGUAGAUAUUCGCAAGAACACCAGUGGCGAAGGCGGCUCACUGGCCCGGAACUGACGCUGAGGUGCGAAAGCGUGGGGAGCAAACAGG
rnacentral:rRNA from 1 species